UUUAUACGAUUGCAUAAUACAAUCGUAACAAUCAAAUAUCGAUCGAUCGAUAAAUUUCUUAACGCGUAGAUUAGAAUAAUUUUUAAUUCAAAUUUGCGCGGCAAUUUUCCAAGUUCGAUUAUUCAAUACCAAGAAGAAUCGAUAUUUGAAAAUAUUCGAGUAAUCGUCAUAAUCAUUUUAAUAAUAGAAUCGUGUCGAAGUUGUGAUAACGUUACGAACUCGUCGACGAGAGCAAAUGUAAACAAAACAAAAAGAUCGCUAAAUGUUUGACCUCGAGCGGAGGUCGGUAUUUAACAUUUCUCAGUCGUUCGUAGUAUCACUGCGAGUGUAUUUCUCGGGUCUCCUUAAAAUUUCGUUUUAAUAUAUUUUCCUUUAUUUUCUUUUUACAUUAAUUUUAUUUUUACUUAAUUUUUAUAGAUUAUGCAUAUUCAGAAAAGAGUUUCCGUACGCAGCAAUUUCCUUGUGAUGAGAACUGGACAAUCGAUAUUAUUUGCGUUGUAAUAAAAUUUUGUAUAUAAUUGUAAACAACGGAAUUAUUUGUUUCGAAUCGUUAAUCGAUAAGGCAGAGCACGAUGCGAAAAAGAUAUCCAACAUUUCUCCCACACAAUCUCUUUCAACAUCUUCAUUUUCACUUGCAUCUUCGGCAGUUUGGAUGGUAUAAACAUCUGGAUUUCUGCAAUCUCUGUUAUGAUUUAGAUUAUAUUAUACAUAAGUGGAUGUCAAGGUUAAGUCAUGUGUCACAUCACAAAUCAAUAUAUAAGUAGACGUGGAGCUAUUACUAGUACAAAAGGGGUAUAUUGAAGCAUUUAAAUUAAAGCAGAAAAGAAAAGAAAAGAAAAGAAAAAAAAAAAAAAAAAGAAAGAAAAUUUUAUAAAAAGAAGAUUACAUUUACCUGAUAAACACUCUACUGCAAAGACAAUAAAUGUAACAAUCGGGGUCAGGGGACUCCGCCUGUUCUGCUAUAUAAACUUCAGCUAAAGGUUCCCAAAAAUGUUCGCACAUACCGAAAAUGUAUAGUGAUCUUUCAUACAAUAAUAAUUUAUCACAACACCCAUA